CUUGAGACCGGCGCACGGGUGCGUAACGCGUAUGCAAUCUGCCUUCCACAGAGGGAUAGCCCAGAGAAAUUUGGAUUAAUACCUCAUAGCAUCAUGACCCGGCAUCGGGAUAUGAUUAAAGUCACAACGGUGGAAGAUGAGCAUGCGUCCCAUUAGCUAGUUGGUAAGGUAACGGCUUACCAAGGCUACGAUGGGUAGGGGUCCUGAGAGGGAGAUCCCCCACACUGGUACUGAGACACGGACCAGACUCCUACGGGAGGCAGCAGUGAGGAAUAUUGGUCAAUGGGCGCAAGCCUGAACCAGCCAUGCCGCGUGCAGGAUGACGGUCCUAUGGAUUGUAAACUGCUUUUGUACGGGAAGAAACCCUCCUACGUGUAGGAGCUUGACGGUACCGUAAGAAUAAGGAUCGGCUAACUCCGUGCCAGCAGCCGCGGUAAUACGGAGGAUCCAAGCGUUAUCCGGAAUCAUUGGGUUUAAAGGGUCUGUAGGCGGUCUUGUAAGUCAGUGGUGAAAGCCCAUCGCUCAACGGUGGAACGGCCAUUGAUACUGCUGGACUUGAAUUAUUGGGAAGCAACUAGAAUAUGUAGUGUAGCGGUGAAAUGCUUAGAGAUUACAUGGAAUACCAAUUGCGAAGGCAGGUUGCUACCAAUGGAUUGACGCUGAUGGACGAAAGCGUGGGUAGCGAACAGGAUUAGAUACCCUGGUAGUCCACGCCGUAAACGAUGGAUACUAGCUGUUGGGCGCAAGUUCAGUGGCUAAGCGAAAGUGAUAAGUAUCCCACCUGGGGAGUACGAACGCAAGUUUGAAACUCAAAGGAAUUGACGGGGGCCCGCACAAGCGGUGGAGCAUGUGGUUUAAUUCGAUGAUACGCGAGGAACCUUACCAAGGCUUA
rnacentral:rRNA from 1 species